rnacentral:rRNA from 1 species
GACGAACGCUGGCGGCGCGCUUAACACAUGCAAGUCGAACGGAAAGGCCUGCUUUCCCUUGUGGAUUGCGGGUACUCGAGUGGCGAACGGGUGAGUAACACGUGAGUGAUCUGCCCCCAACUUGGGUAUAAGCCUGGGAAACUGGGUCUAAUUCCCGAUAGGACUGCAGGGUGGUGCCUGUGGUGGAAAACGAUUUUCUAGUGGUUGGGGAUGAGCUCGCGGCCUAUCAGCUUGUUGGUGGGGUAAUGGCCUACCAAGGCGGCGACGGGUAGCCGGCCUGAGAGGGUGGACGGCCACAUUGGGACUGAGAUACGGCCCAGACUCCUACGGGAGGCAGCAGUGGGGAAUAUUGCACAAUGGGCGGAAGCCUGAUGCAGCGACGCCGCGUGGGGGAUGACGGCCUUCGGGUUGUAAACUCCUUUCGACCGCGAGGAAGCCACCUGGCUGGAAGGGUGGUGACGGUAGUGGUAGAAGAAGCACCGGCUAACUACGU